rnacentral:rRNA from 1 species
GAUGAACGCUAGCGGGAGGCUUAACACAUGCAAGUCGAGGGGCAGCAUAGGGUAGCAAUACUCUGAUGGCGACCGGCAAACGGGUGAGUAACGCGUAUGCAACCUACCCUGUACAGGGGGAUAACCCGGAGAAAUUCGGACUAAUAUCCCGUAAUAAUAUCCGGAGGCAUCUUUGGAUAUUUAAAGUUCCGACGGUACGGGAUGGGCAUGCGUAACAUUAGCUAGUUGGUAAGGUAACGGCUUACCAAGGCGACGAUGUUUAGGGGACCUGAGAGGGUUGUCCCCCACACUGGUACUGAGACACGGACCAGACUCCUACGGGAGGCAGCAGUGAGGAAUAUUGGUCAAUGGGCGCAAGCCUGAACCAGCCAUCCCGCGUGAAGGAAGAAUGCGCUACGCGUUGUAAACUUCUUUUCCAGGGGGAAAUAAUCCUGUCGUGACAGGACUUGACGGUACUCUGGGAAUAAGCAUCGGCUAACUCCGUG